GAUGAAGAACGUAGUGAAAUGCGAUACGUAAUGUGAAUUGCAGAAUUCAGUGAAUCAUCGAGUCUUUGAACGCACAUUGCGCCCCCUGGUAUUCCGGGGGGCAUGCCUGUCCGAGCGUCAUUGCUGCCCUCAAGCCCGGCUUGUGUGUUGGGUCUCGUCCCCCUUCCCGGGGGGACGGGCCCGAAAGGCAGCGGCCGCACCGUGUCCGGUCCUCGAGCGUAUGGGGCUUUGUCACCCGCUCUUGUAGGCCCGGCCGGCGCUUGCCGACACAUCAAUCUUUUUUCCAGGUUGACCUCGGAUCAGGUAGGGAUACCCGCUGAACUUAAGCAUAUCAAUAAGCGGAGGA
rnacentral:misc_RNA from 1 species